CUUUGCUUUAGGUAAAAUCCAUUGACUAACUCUUUUAAGCUUCAUUCUAGAUUCUUAAUACAUAAUGUCAUAAGAUUACAAUUGAUGUUUUGUAGGAUCGAAGAAAAGAAAGGAAGCUUAAGGGAAGAAGUGAGCAGAAUCUAACCAUGAAGAAAUGGAUUUCGAUCGCAUUACUUGGAAAUUAGAUUCUUGAGUUGCUACUUAGAGUUAAAAUUAGAUUGCUAAGAAAUAUGUAUUAGCAUAGUUUUUCAAUGAAUUGCAUUGUAAGGACAAAUUUUUCCACAAUAAAAUAAAUUUUGAAUUUUGUAUUAUUUAUUUAUCCUUACAAUGGCGUAUAUGAAAAAAUUGAUGUUUGGAUGUUUCUAUUAUUAGCAAUAAUGGAUUUGAUUCUUAUUUAUGGAAAUGUCGAAAAUUUACCAAAUAAGGAGAGUUUCUCAUCGACCAAGUUUCAAUUGGACGGAAACUUGGAAUCAUGCAACUUGGUUGCACGAUGAAUGAGAAAUUUCAUAUUUGGAAAUUAGACUAAUUCAUUGACAAAGUGUCAAGUGAAGGACUAAGAGAUCGAGUACACAAAGUUGUGUGUUGAUCAAGUCCACCAUAAGAGUAAACAAGAUAUUCGUCAUGAUUUACUAAAGGUUUAGUAAAUAUGAUUAUACUUAUAAGAUUAAGUGUAAUUCUGAAUUGAUUGAAAAAGUUUAAAUCAAUAGCAGAACGAAUAAGAAGAAUCAAGUAGGCAGAAAGAUAAAAGUUUCUCCAUUCUAAGAAGAAGGGAGAGUACCUUUUAUGCUUUAUGAUAAGUCUUAAUGAUUAAGAACCAUAUCUCAAUUGAUCCUCUAAGUGAGUCUUAGUACAAUUGUAUGUCUAAGAAGAGGAAUCAAGAAUUGAAGAAAUGGUUAAAUCAAGAAGUCAAUCAUACUUCGUUCCAAAACAAGUCUUAGAGUUAAGAUUGUGACAUUGAGUGAAAAGUAUUAAGAAGGUUUAUAACAUUCAUCAAAUGUGGAAAGUUGUGAUGUCUUGGAUAAGACAAAGACCAACUAGGACCAAUUUAUGAAGUGUUUUGAUAAAAACUACACUAACUCUUGAAUAUUUGUUUGUCAAGAAAUGUUUAUUGACAAGAGAAUCUUAUAUGUCAAGGAGUCAGUGGGAGUCUUAAUGGUCUUGAAAGGUUUCAAGAACAAAUCAAAUAAACCUUAUCGAUCAUCACUAGCACACGAGUUGAGGUUUACAACCUAUCGUGUUGACAUUAUUUUGUUUCUGUGCCAAUCCAAUCGAGUUAAUUAUGCAUGUGAGUUCUAUGAGUUCUCAUUUUGAACGCAUAAAAGGCAAAGCACCUUAAUCAAUGAAAGGUACAUUGAUAGGAAAGGGUGAGCUGCUUAACUACUUGGAAGACAUGGUGGGCAGCUGUGCUACCAUAAGGCAAGAAAUCAAGAUUAAGAAAGUUCGGUCCAUAUGAGUUUGAAUUUGUCGUAAACUUUGGUUUUAACAAAUUCACAUGGAUAGGAACACAUACACCGUUUAAAUCUAAGUGUCAUAAGAUUUCCUCCUUCAUGAAAAUGAUUGUGAGGAAAUGCUUUCACUAAGAAAGAUUUUAAGAAGAUAGUGAUUGUAAAAUUGCAUUCUCGAAUUCGAUUAUGGUUACGGUAUCCCUUUCCAUAAUUUGAAUUGUGAGGUUUGGCAAUUAGUCUUAAUUGUUUAGACACACAUAUGAACUAUCGAAGGCAAAGGUGUAUAAGUUCAAGAAGCCUUGAUAAAAGAUUAUCAAAGCACUAAGUAUUAGAAACAUGAACUUAAGAAAUUCAAUAAGUAUUGUUUUUCUGAAAGUUAAGAUGUUUAUGAAUACAUGUCGAAGCUAGUGGGAGCAUAAGUGUUAUGUUUUAUAAUAAUCAUCAUGAUAGUGGGAGCAUAAAUGUUAUGAUUGUAUGAUUAUUAAGGCACGUAUUGCAAGCUGGCAAUAUUAAUUAUAGAAAACAAGAGUUAUACCUUGCAAAGUCGUAUGGGUUGUAAAUUUGUUUUGCUAUAAUUAAGGGAGAGAAUAUUAUGCUUCAUUUCACAUAUAAAGGAUUAGGUUAAGAAAUGCUAAUAAAUUUAGUCAAAGGUACAUAGUGUGUUCUUAAAAUUUCGAUUAUGAUUACGNUGAUUACGACAUUCCUCUUCACAAUUCGAAUUUUGAGAACAUAGCAAAUAAAACAUUAUGCGUCGUGUCCCAUACGCUUCAGGUAUAGGAUCGAUUGCAAAUGCUUUAAUAUUUGACCAUUCUAAAAUUUUCCAAAUAUCUAGCGCAUUUAGAGGGAAAAAGGACUAGAAUCGGUUUUGACUAAAAUAAUUAAAUAACUAUCAAAGGACAAUCCAAAGUUCGGCAAGGAUUGGUUGCUUGUGAGUAGAUGGAAUCAUGGUAUUGAAUGGACCAUAUCGACCUUAUUAAGAAUGAGUUGUCAUAUGGAAAAUAUGUAAAUGCUUCCAUAUUGGAUGGACCAUGUCGACAUUAUUAUGAAUAGAUAANNNNNNNNNNNNNNNNNNNNNNNNNNNNNNNNNNNNNNNNNNNNNNNNNNNNNNNNNNNNNNNNNNNNNNNNNNNNNNNNNNNNNNNNNNNNNNNNNNNNAGCAGAAUCUAACCAUGAAGAAAUGGAUUUCGAUCGCAUUACUUGGAAAUUAGAUUCUUGAGUUGCUACUUAGAGUUAAAAUUAGAUUGCUAAGAAAUAUGUAUUAGCAUAGUUUUUCAAUGAAUUGCAUUGUAAGGACAAAUUUUUCCACAAUAAAAUAAAUUUUGAAUUUUGUAUUAUUUAUUUAUCCUUACAAUGGCGUAUAUGAAAAAAUUGAUGUUUGGAUGUUUCUAUUAUUAGCAAUAAUGGAUUUGAUUCUUAUUUAUGGAAAUGUCGAAAAUUUACCAAAUAAGGAGAGUUUCUCAUCGACCAAGUUUCAAUUGGACGGAAACUUGGAAUCAUGCAACUUGGUUGCACGAUGAAUGAGAAAUUUCAUAUUUGGAAAUUAGACUAAUUCAUUGACAAAGUGUCAAGUGAAGGACUAAGAGAUCGAGUACACAAAGUUGUGUGCUGAUCAAGUCCACCAUAAGAGUAAACAAGAUAUUCGUCAUAUUUACUAAAGGUUUAGUAAAUAUGAUUAUACUUAUAAGAUUAAGUGUAAUUCUGAAUUGAUUGAAAAUGUUUAAAUCAAUAGCAGAACGAAUAAGAAGAAUCAAGUAGGCAGAAAGAUAAAAGUUUCUCCAUUCUAAGAAGAAGGGAGAGUACCUUUUAUGCUUUAUGAUAGGUCUUAAUGAUUAAGAACCAUAUCUCAAUUGAUCCUCUAAGUGAGUCUUAGUACAAUUGUAUGUCUAAGAAGAGGAAUCAAGAAUUGAAG
rnacentral:lncRNA from 1 species